UAUAUAUCAGUGUUUGGCACAAUAGAUUUUGAUUUUAUUAGGGAUAGAUUUAAUUUGUCGUAUAUAU
rnacentral:tRNA from 1 species